ACCCCCUCCCGCCCCCCACCCCACCCCGGCCGUGCGCGCGUGCGGGGGGCGCUGCGGGGCUGCUCCGGCCUCCCUCCCCCCCUCCCUCCCCCCCCCCAAAUUUUUCCUCCGUUCCUGCUUUCGCCUCCCCGCCCCGCACCGUUUCUGCGCCCUCGGCGGAGUUGCGCGCAGGCGCCCGCAGGUGGGCAGGCCGCGGGGGAGCGCGAGGCGGCCACUCCCCGCGAAGCAGCGGUUGCGACUUCUCGCUUGGCCUCUUCCCCUCGGCUUGGCCGGGCCGCCUGGGACGCGAGCGGCGCCGAUGAAUAACGCGCUGGCAACUGGAGAAGAAAAACCAGCAGCCGGAUCUCCCCUGGUUUCCUCCGCAGGACGUCCCGCGCUCGCGGGCGCCUCGGCCCACGGGCUGGAGCCGCGGCUCUGGGGAUCGCUCGGAGCGGAGCCGGCUGGGCGUCCGGCGACACACACACUGGCUUUCGCCCGUCGGUGCAGUCGCGGCGCGCGGGCUCUCCGAGGUACCGAGGCACCUGUUUGACCAGGCACUGAAGAUCCCCCACCCCAUGGGAGCCUCAAGGCUGCAGUGCCGGCGCGAAGGGGUGGCAGCCGUCGCAGCAGAGCAGCGCGCUCGUGGCCCGGCCGGAGGAGCCGCUGGUUUUGAGAAUUUCUGAUUCCUGCAAACCAUUCGAUGAAGCCAGCUGAAGAUUGCACGCUGCUGUGAUUUAUAUGCUCCACCGUAAGCCUCAUCUUCCUUAUGUUCGUCUGAGCUGAGAGCAUUGAGUAUGAUGUGCACGUUCUCCCUCUUCUUUGCAACAGGUGACGUGGAAUCCUUCAUGCCCACUUGGGACUGCUGACUUGGGAAGACGAUCCAAAGGCGUAGGAGCUCCUCGGUGAAGCAGGGCACAUCAUUCGUCUGUUCUCCCUUCCUGUACUCCAGGAAAUUAUUUUGCAAUUCAUCCCUGCAAUGUGAAGGUCGGGUGCGAGAUCAGAUGGCACCGGGAGCAAGUGUUCACGCGCAGAUGAGAGACAGCUGGAAGAAACAGAGCAAACCGUCUGGUCACGGGGGUGUUUUCUGGGGAGAGGGACGCCCGCCGAGUCCCGCUCGCCCGUCCGUCCCCACCUCUCUUUGCUCCCUCUGGAUUUUGGGCCCAAACCCUGAGCUGUAGACCACAGCAGCUCGCAGGCGUGGGCCUGCCCCAUUGCUCCCCAAACCACGGCCGCCUCCUCUGGGGUUUGGGGGGGCCCCCAGCCCUGUGCGGGUGCCCUUCUCUGGCAGCGUGGCCGGGGUGUGGGGUCGGAGAGGGGCCUCCCCCCAGGAAAGGGCGACGACCACCCGUCCUACAGCUCGCCCUCGCCACCCCUCCUCACCUACCGCUGGGAGGAGGCACCGCGAUUUCCUUUCCUUAAACAGGUUUAAAAAAAAAAAAGAAAAUGAUAAUAAUAAAAUUCCAUGACUCUC